rnacentral:rRNA from 1 species
UACAGAGGGUGCGAGCGUUGUCCGGAAUCACUGGGCGUAAAGGGCGCGUAGGUGGCGGGCCAAGUCAGUGGUGAAAGCUCGAUGCUCAACAUCGAGUCGGCCACUGAUACUGGUUUGCUUGAGCACUGUAGAGGCAGAUGGAAUUCCGGGUGUAGCGGUGGAAUGCGUAGAGAUCCGGAAGAACACCGGUGGCGAAAGCGCUCUGCUAGGCCGCAACUGACACUGAGGGACGAAAGCUAGGGGAGCGAAUGGG